GGGAGGCUGUGAAUUUUUUUUUUUUUGGUGCUGGCGUGGGCUGUGAGAUGUAUCAAUGGUGAAGAAGGAUGUUUGGUGAAGAAGAGGAGCACUAGACGGUGGGGCAGCAGGUGGGGGCGGCUGGUGUUGGGGUUGAGAAUUGGAAAGGGAUAAUUAUUUAUUUUAUUUUUUUUGUUUAGUUAUAUAAGGGUAAAAUUGUAAUUUACUUUUUAAUCUAUAGUUAUAUCAAUUGUAUCAAAUAAUAAUAUUAAUUAUCUUAGCAUUUAUAUCUUAUUUAUCAAACACCUAUAAAAUAUUAAUAAUCUCACUCAAUUUAUAUUAUUUAUCUAGAUUUUAUUUAUCA
rnacentral:lncRNA from 1 species